UACCCGCCGAAUUUAAGCAUAUAAUUAAGCGGAGGAAAAGAAACUAACA
rnacentral:rRNA from 1 species